AACGGCCAACCCGAGGCGAAUCGCCGCCGUGCAGGAAUUCUAAAAUUGGUCGAAUAGGCCCUGGGUCUAAUUUGGGGUUUUUUGGGGACAUGUGCAAGUACCGAAAGUGUGUUUCAGUUUCCGGGAAAAGAGUUCAGGGAAUCUAGAGACUGCCCAUAGGCGCAGUGAGAACUCAAUUUCAGACUCCGAAACAAGUAAGGAUCCCUCACCCUAUUUCCUAUCACGGCAUUAAAGCUUAAUAAAUGAUAAAACGGUAUUUUAUGAAUUUACAGAUAUGUAUAAUUAAUUAAGAUUGCUAAUGGGGCUCGAACCUAAUG
rnacentral:lncRNA from 1 species